rnacentral:rRNA from 1 species
GACGAACGCUGGCGGCGUGCUUAACACAUGCAAGUCGAGCGAUGAAAGCCUUAUGAACUAUUCGUAGUGAUUGAGGCCGGAUUAGCGGCGGACGGGUGAGUAACGCGUGAGCAACCUGCCUUAAACAACGGGAUAGCCUCGGGAAACCGGGAUUAAUACCGUAUGAGACCCCGCCUUCACAUGAAGAAGAGGUUAAAGAUUUAUCGGUCUAAGAUGGGCUCGCGUCUGAUUAGCUAGUUGGUGAGAUAAAAGCCCACCAAGGCAACGAUCAGUAACCGGCUUGAGAGAGUGAACGGUCACAUUGGAACUGAGACACGGUCCAAACUCCUACGGGAGGCAGCGGUGGGGAAUAUUGCACAAUGGGGGAAACCCUGAUGCAGCGACGCCGCGUGAGCGAUGAAGGAAUUCGUUUCGUAAAGCUCUGUCCAAGGGGAAGAUAAUGACAGUACCCUUGGAGGAAGCCCCGGCUAAAUACGUGCCAGCCGCCGCGGUAA